rnacentral:tRNA from 2 species
GCGACCCUAGCUCAGUUGGUAGAGCACCAGACUGAAAAUCUGGGUGUCCGCAGUUCGAUUCUGCGGGGUCGCACCA